rnacentral:rRNA from 1 species
CCUUUGACGUUAGCGGCGGACGGGUGAGUAACACGUGGGUAACCUACCUAUAAGACUGGGAUAACUUCGGGAAACCGGAGCUAAUACCGGAUAAUAUUUCGAACCGCAUGGUUCGAUAGUGAAAGGUGGUUUUGCUAUCACUUAUAGAUGGACCCGCGCCGUAUUAGCUAGUUGGUAAGGUAACGGCUUACCAAGGCGACGAUACGUAGCCGACCUGAGAGGGUGAUCGGCCACACUGGAACUGAGACACGGUCCAGACUCCUACGGGAGGAGCAGUC